rnacentral:rRNA from 1 species
UACGGAGGAUGCAAGCGUUAUCCGGAUUCAUUGGGUUUAAAGGGUGCGUAGGCGGAGUACUAAGUCAGCGAUGAAAUCCUGCAGCUUAACUGUAGAACUGUCAUUGAUACUGGUAUUCUUGAAUGCAGUUGAGGUAGGCGGAAUGUGUAAUGUAGCGGUGAAAUGCUUAGAUAUUACACAGAACACCGAUUGCGAAGGCAGCUUACUAAACUGUGAUUGACGCUGAGGCACGAAAGCGUGGGGAGCAAACAGG